GACAAACACAGCUCUUUUGAAAAUUUUUUUCUAGCAGAUUUUCUGACUUUGAUCCAAAAACCCAA
rnacentral:snRNA from 1 species